CUCUCUGCUGCCGCCGCAAGCGCCGCUGGCCCGGGGACCACAGAUUGGAAGCAGGCAGUCACUGGUCGUGGACAGGAAGACUCUCUCCGGCCAUCUCAGCUGUGGUCCUCUAACCUGUGCCUGUGAGCCACCAAGAGUGAACGGAAACUAGAAGCAUUGCCACCAACAACUGGAGCAGUGACCACACUGAAGUUUCUCUGUCGAGGGGGAAGGGGAGUAAGGAGAAAAAAAAAAAAAAAAGGCAAGUAAGCAAGCAAGCCAGCAAGCACAGGAGCACACUCUCGUGGAGGCCCACACCCUCCCUGUGCCUACCCAAGAUGUGUCAGUCAGAGAAGCAUCCAGGACCGGAGCUCCAAGCAGCAGCAAAAUGGUUGUACUUUCCCCAGCUGGCCCUAUGGCGGAGGCUAGGCCAGCUGAGCUGCAUGUCCAGACCUGCUCUGAAUCUGCGCUCCUGGCUGCUGACCAUCCUCCACUACCUCCUGCCCUUCCGUGUGCUCGGGCCCCACAGCCAGGUGGGAUGGAGGCCCCUGAGCAGGGUGUUCCUGUAUAAAACUGUGCCAACGAGUUUGCUGUCAUGUGCCUGUGGUCGCCUCAACAAAGUAGAACUUCCUUACUGGCUCUGGAGGCCAGUCUACAGCCUGUAUAUCUGGACCUUUGGGGUGAACAUGACUGAGGCUGCAGUGGAGGACCUGCACCACUACCGCAACCUCAGCGAGUUUUUCCGGCGUAAGCUGAAGCCUCAGGCACAGCCUGUCUGAGAUUUGUACUGUGUGGUAAUGCCUGGCCCUUGUCUCCAUUCUUCAUUAGGAAAUGAAACCCUUGUCUGCCUUUAAGCCAGGCUUAGCAGCACCGCAUGGCCGUGGCACUCCGGGAGGCUCCCUCCUGACCUGGACUGGAGCUCCCUGAGGACUUGGCAGAUGGUAGAGUUUGGGGAGCCACUGAAGGUGAGCACUACCCCCUCCUUACCUUCAAAACUCUGUCUCCUCCAGACCAGCCCAUCAGAUGGCAAGAUCCUCACCUUUGGGCAGGUGAAGAACUCUGAGGUGGAGCAGGUAAAGGGCGAAACCUACUCCUUGGAGUCCUUCCUGGGCCCUCGAACCAGUACAGAAGACCUGCCCUUCCCUCCAGCUUCUUCCAGUGACUCCUUCAGAAACCAGCUGGUCCCCCAAGAAGGGAAUGCGCUCUACCACUGUGUCGUCUACCUGGCCCCAGGAGACUACCACUGCUUCCACUCCCCCACUGACUGGACCGUCUCACAUCGGCGCCACUUCCCAGGUUCCCUGAUGUCAGUGAACCCUGGCAUGGCCCGAUGGAUCAAAGAGCUCUUUUGUCACAAUGAGCAUGUAGUCCUAACUGGAGACUGGAAAAAUGGGUUCUUCUCGUUGACAGCAGUGGGAGCCACCAAUGUGGGCUCUAUCCAUAUCCACUUUAACUGAGACUUGCACACAAACAGCCCCAGGUACAGCAAGGUACUACAAUGACCUGAGCUUUGUAACAAGGAGGGCAUUCCCAUGCACAAGGGUGAGCCCCUGGGCGAGUUCAACCUGAGCUCCACAUCAUGCUCAUCUUCGAGGCACCCAAGGACUUCAACUUGAGGCUGAAGGCAGAACAGAAGAUCUGCUUUGCAGGAGCACUGGGCUCCCUCUAGUCCUCUCGGUUGUGGCUGCCAAAGGAUCUUUCCACACAGGAGCAUGAGGGUCUUUAGCGGAGCCCCAGGAUGUCUAGGGUGACGUGCCUGCUGGGCAGAGACUGUGGAUCCACUGUCUUCCUAGAGCAGGCCACAUGGCCUUCAUAACUGCUUUCUGCUCCCAAAUUUCACCUAUCUGCAUGCUGGAAAAGUAAAAUCAUUUAUAUAUUGCUG
rnacentral:lncRNA from 1 species